UACAGAGGGUGCAAGCGUUAAUCGGAAUUACUGGGCGUAAAGCGUGCGCAGGCGGUUCGUUAUGUCCGUUGUGAAAGCCCCGGGCUCAACCUGGGAAUGGCAAUGGAAACUGGCGGGCUAGAGUGUGGCAGAGGGGGGUGGAAUUCCGCGUGUAGCAGUGAAAUGCGUAGAGAUGCGGAGGAACACCGAUGGCGAAGGCAGCUCGCUGGGACGUUACUGACGCUGAGACGCGAAAGCGUGGGGAGCAAACAGG
rnacentral:rRNA from 1 species